rfam:Triticum aestivum genome assembly, contig: Triticum_aestivum_CS42_TGACv1_scaffold_407044_5BL
UAAAUACUCCCUCCGUCCGGAAAUACUUGUCCUAAAAAUAGACAAAAUGGAUGUAUCUAUAACUAAAAUAAGUCUAGAUACAACCAUUUUUAGGACAAGUAUUUCCGGACGGAGGGAGUAUAAG